rnacentral:rRNA from 1 species
CAUGGUUAAGUGGGAAACGAUGUGGGAAGGCCCAGACAGCCAGGAUGUUGGCUUAGAAGCAGCCAUCAUUUAAAGAAAGCGUAAUAGCUCACUGGUCGAGUCGGCCUGCGCGGAAGAUGUAACGGGGCUAAACCAUGCACCGAAGCUGCGGCAGCGACGCUUAUGCGUUGUUGGGUAGGGGAGCGUUCUGUAAGCCUGUGAAGGUGUGCUGUGAGGUAUGCUGGAGGUAUCAGAAGUGCGAAUGCUGACAUAAGUAACGAUAAAGCGGGUGAAAAGCCCGCUCGCCGGAAGACCAAGGGUUCCUGUCCAACGUUAAUCGGGGCAGGGUGAGUCGACCCCUAAGGCGAGGCCGAAAGGCGUAGUCGAUGGGAAACAGGUUAAUAUUCCUGUACUUGGUGUUACUGCGAAGGGGGGACGGAGAAGGCUAUGUUGGCCGGGCGACGGUUGUCCCGGUUUAAGCGUGUAGGCUGGUUUUCCAGGCAAAUCCGGAAAAUCAAGGCCGAGGCGUGAUGACGAGGCACUACGGUGCUGAAGCAACAAAUGCCCUGCUUCCAGGAAAAGCCUCUAAGCAUCAGGUAACAUCAAAUCGUACCCCAAACCGACACAGGUGGUCAGGUAGAGAAUACCAAGGCGCUUGAGAGAACUCGGGUGAAGGAACUAGGCAAAAUGGUGCCGUAACUUCGGGAGAAGGCACGCUGAUACGUAGGUGAAGCGACUUGCUCGUGGAGCUGAAAUCAGUCGAAGAUACCAGCUGGCUGCAACUGUUUAUUAAAAACACAGCACUGUGCAAACACGAAAGUGGACGUAUACGGUGUGACGCCUGCCCGGUGCCGGAAGGUUAAUUGAUGGGGUUAGCGCAAGCGAAGCUCUUGAUCGAAGCCCCGGUAAACGGCGGCCGUAACUAUAACGGUCCUAAGGUAGCGAAAUUCCUUGUCGGGUAAGUUCCGACCUGCACGAAUGGCGUAAUGAUGGCCAGGCUGUCUCCACCCGAGACUCAGUGAAAUUGAACUCGCUGUGAAGAUGCAGUGUACCCGCGGCAAGACGGAAAGACCCCGUGAACCUUUACUAUAGCUUGACACUGAACAUUGAGCCUUGAUGUGUAGGAUAGGUGGGAGGCUUUGAAGUGUGGACGCCAGUCUGCAUGGAGCCGACCUUGAAAUACCACCCUUUAAUGUUUGAUGUUCUAACGUGGACCCGUGAUCCGGGUUGCGGACAGUGUCUGGUGGGUAGUUUGACUGGGGCGGUCUCCUCCUAAAGAGUAACGGAGGAGCACGAAGGUUGGCUAAUCCUGGUCGGACAUCAGGAGGUUAGUGCAAUGGCAUAAGCCAGCUUGACUGCGAGCGUGACGGCGCGAGCAGGUGCGAAAGCAGGUCAUAGUGAUCCGGUGGUUCUGAAUGGAAGGGCCAUCGCUCAACGGAUAAAAGGUACUCCGGGGAUAACAGGCUGAUACCGCCCAAGAGUUCAUAUCGACGGCGGUGUUUGGCACCUCGAUGUCGGCUCAUCACAUCCUGGGGCUGAAGUAGGUCCCAAGGGUAUGGCUGUUCGCCAUUUAAAGUGGUACGCGAGCUGGGUUUAGAACGUCGUGAGACAGUUCGGUCCCUAUCUGCCGUGGGCGCUGGAGAACUGAGGGGGGCUGCUCCUAGUACGAGAGGACCGGAGUGGACGCAUCACUGGUGUUCGGGUUGUCAUGCCAAUGGCACUGCCCGGUAGCUAAAUGCGGAAGAGAUAAGUGCUGAAAGCAUCUAAGCACGAAACUUGCCCCGAGAUGAGUUCUCCCU